AGACCCGAAACCCGGUGAUCUAGCCAUGGGCAGGUUGAAGGUUGGGUAACACUAACUGGAGGACCGAACCGACUAAUGUUGAAAAAUUAGCGGAUGACCUGUGGCUGGGGGUGAAAGGCCAAUCAAACCGGGAGAUAGCUGGUUCUCCCCGAAAGCUAUUUAGGUAGCGCCUCGUGAAUUCAUCUCCGGGGGUAGAGCACUGUUUCGGCUAGGGGGCCAUCCCGGCUUACCAACCCGAUGCAAACUGCGAAUACCGGAGAAUGUUAUCACGGGAGACACACGGCGGGUGCUAACGUCCGUCGUGAAGAGGGAAACAACCCAGACCGCCAGCUAAGGUCCCAAAGUCAUGGUUAAGUGGGAAACGAUGUGGGAAGGCCCAGACAGCCAGGAUGUUGGCUUAGAAGCAGCCAUCAUUUAAAGAAAGCGUAAUAGCUCACUGGUCGAGUCGGCCUGCGCGGAAGAUGUAACGGGGCUAAACCAUGCACCGAAGCUGCGGCAGCGAACGUAUCACUUAAAGCGAUUCAGCGGAUGACGAUUGACGGAGCGAAGCGACGUCAAAGCGUAUACAAAGUCGAGUCGGUUUAAGGAUACGUUCGUUGGGUAGGGGAGCGUUCUGUAAGCCUGCGAAGGUGGCCUGUGAGGGUUGCUGGAGGUAUCAGAAGUGCGAAUGCUGACAUAAGUAACGAUAAAGCGGGUGAAAAGCCCGCUCGCCGGAAGACCAAGGGUUC
rnacentral:rRNA from 1 species